rnacentral:rRNA from 1 species
UACGUAGGGUGCAAGCGUUAAUCUGAAUUACUGGGCGUAAAGCGUGCGCAGGCGGUUAUGUAAGACAGUUGUGAAAUCCCCGGGCUCAACCUGGGAACUGCAUCUGUGACUGCAUAGCUAGAGUACGGUAGAGGGGGAUGGAAUUCCGCGUGUAGCAGUGAAAUGCGUAGAUAUGCGGAGGAACACCGAUGGCGAAGGCAAUCCCCUGGACCUGUACUGACGCUCAUGCACGAAAGCGUGGGGAGCAAACAGG